rnacentral:rRNA from 1 species
GACGAACGCUGGCGGCGUGCCUAAUACAUGCAAGUUGAGCGCUGAAGGUUGGUACUUGUACCAACUGGAUGAGCAGCGAACGGGUGAGUAACGCGUGGGGAAUCUGCCUUUGAGCGGGGGACAACAUUUGGAAACGAAUGCUAAUACCGCAUAAAAACUUUAAACACAAGUUUUAAGUUUGAAAGAUGCAAUUGCAUCACUCAAAGAUGAUCCCGCGUUGUAUUAGCUAGUUGGUGAGGUAAAGGCUCACCAAGGCGAUGAUACAUAGCCGACCUGAGAGGGUGAUCGGCCACAUUGGGACUGAGACACGGCCCAAACUCCUACGGGAGGCAGCAGGAGGGAAUCUUCGGCAAUGGACGAAAGUCUGACCGAGCAACGCCGCGUGAGUGAAGGAGGGUUUCGGAUCGUAAAACUCUGUUGGUAGAGAAGAACGUUGGUGAGAGUGGAAAGCUCAUCAAGUGACGGUAACUACCCAGAAAGGGACGGCUAACUACGUG